GCCCAGGUGGUGGAAUUGGUAGACACGCAGGACUUAAAAUCCUGUGAUCAUUGCGAUCGUAGCGGUUCGACCCCGCUCCCGGGUA
rnacentral:tRNA from 1 species